rnacentral:lncRNA from 1 species
GUCUGAGUGUCAAUUUUGUACAGCUAUACAUAAAAGAUUUGAAAAUGAAUAUCACUCAGAGGACAAUGAAGAGCCACUUAAUGGAGGGAGGAUCAUCUCCAGACCUGUAAUACUGAGCAAACAGUUAAAAUGGAAAUUAAAAUCAGGAAAGCAUACUUUACUAGAUGUCAAUUCAAUUCUCAAUUCUUUCUGGGUUCCAAAUCACAGUCUAAGAUUAGGAGUAUAGUUCUGUCCUUCUUUCUCUUCCUGGGACAUUGCAUCAGAUCUUGUCUCGCAUGCCUGCAAUGUACCCCUCCAUGCCUCAGUCUUAUGAGAAAUACUUUUCCUUUUAAACAGAGAUCAAACAUGAUGUUUUUCAUGAAACCCUCUCUGAGCCACCCAAAUGCUAUUACCUUCACUGUAAGAUUGUUUUAUUUAACUUCUGCUUUGUAAAUAUUUGUAUAUAUUCACUUUUGUUCAUGAUAAGGGGUGUGGUAUGGAGGUCUUGUUGUGCCCUCCUAGGCCAGCUCUCCAGCCUCUGACCCCUAUCUGAUACCUAGCUCUCACUUGUGGCUCCUAGUAGCUGCUAGCAUGCGGCAGCGGCCACACCCCGGGCAAUGGCUUCGACAGGCUGGCUAAACCUUGUGAGGGUUGUGUUAUAAAAAAUUCAAAGAUUUUGAUUCUGUUUGAGAAAAGAUCUUCAAGAAAGAAGCUUGAAACUUUUAUAUCCAGAGAAUGAACUGUUGCAGAAAGAUGCCGAAAACCUACACUUCAUCAAGAAGAUCAAGAAUGAACUUUGGAUGUGAUUGAUUGGACUGAACUUUUGAUUGAACAUUUAUUGUAACUGUAUACAUUUAUGCCAAAAGGCACUGCCCCUAAUUUGGCUUUCUGUCAAUGUGCCUAGCAAAACAUUGGUUUUGCUUUCUUUUCUUUUCUAUUUCCUCUCUCACUGUUCUAAUUUCUCUUAGAAAAUUGAAUAUUGUGUAUAUCUAUAGUUAGAAGUGCAUUUAGAACUACAAAUUGAUUAUGUUAAAUGAUCAAUGGGGAGACUAGUCUCCCAAUGAUCAUCGGGGGGAUUGUAAACCUUAAAAUUUUUUAAGACUUAUAAAUGUUGGAAAUUUCACCAUUGGGAAUUUUCAUGCUUGUAGGGAAUUUCAUACUGAUAGUGGGAACUCUAUUGGAAUGUGAACCCCAUUGGCAAGGGAGGUUCCUCCUCCUCCCUUCUUAAGAUUAUUUUAGGACAGAAACCUUUUGCUGAACAAUGGAAAGGGCUGCAGCAUAGAUCAAAAAUUUAAUUAUUCCAAUCUCCACCCUACUCAGGGUAACAGGAUUUAGGAAGGGCUGCAGCAAAGGAUCAAGAUUUAAUUAUUUGAGAAUAUGACCUUCAACAGACAUGUGCAAAGCCACAGACCUCUGGGUGGUCCUGGGUUAAGGUAGAGCCACCAUUGGCACAGGGGAGACAUGGACAGUGAUUGGUAGAUGUGAGAACUGAGGGGAGGGAACUUGGAUGGUUUCCUUAAAGAUAGCUGGGUCUGAGGACUAGAGGUGGUUGGUUGGAGAGAUUGUGCUCUGAGAAGCUUGCUCUGAAGGAAGCUGGAGGUGGAGGCCCCUGAGGCUGUUUCUCCAUUUUGGUCACGUGAUUGAUAGGGACUGAUCUCUUUUCUUUGCCUCAGCUAUCUAAGGGCUUGGGCCUUUUGGCCCAGCCUAAACAGAAGGGGUAUUUAAGCCCUAUUCCCUUCUCUCCCCUUUCUCUCUCCCUCUCUCUCUCUAUCUCUAAUACCUUUCUUCCUCCUGUUUGUAAUUAAACUCCAUAAAAGGUUGACUGCUGACUUGAGUUUUCAUUUAGGAAUUACAUAGCUGAAUUCCUUGGCGACCUUAAAUUAAUAUAUAUCAGUCUUUUAAAGUGAUUUCCUUGUCACAGUUGCCAUCGGGUCAUUGUGGACCCCUGGUGAACCAGUGCUUUGCUCACCCAGCAUGUGAAGACUGCUUCCAUGGAACAGGCGGAAGAAACCAACAAGAAGGUUCAAGGGCUUGAGAUGGCGAUGCAGCAAGGCACUGUGGAGUGCUUAGGGCGCGUUGGAGCACAAAAGAUAAGGCAGCCAUCCAAUGCAGCUGAGGAAGUCUCCAGGUGUAACGACUUUUUGUGCCACUGGACCCAGGCUUCCAACGCCGAGAGAGUGGGACUGUCUCUGUGCAUCGACUUUUCCACUUAAAUCUUCAUGCACAAGUGUUUUUGUGCACAAAAACGCACAAAGACAAUCGUCACACUUGGUUACAGAGAGACUACUACAAAAAAAAUUAUAUUAUGUAUAUUUGUAUGAAUGGUGUAGAUAUUCCGUUUCCUUUAUUCAAACGAUAUUUCCUUGUGACUAAAGAUUGGUUCUUGUUCUUAUUCUUAGAUUCUCAGACUAAUGGUGUUUGGCCCAUAAUAGAUACUAAGUAAAUUGUUUUGAUUAAUUGGUGCACUAAUUAAUAGAUCCUCUCAGAUUUUUGAAACUUUGAAAUAAAUAACUAUUUUUAUGCA